UGUACUCUUCUUCUUCUUUGUAUCUCUGUUCUUAUCUGUUUUCUUGUUCUUAUUUUUCAUCAUGAAUCCCUUCCCAUUCUCCUUUUAUCUUAAUUUGGUUCCAAAUUCAGCUAGAUUACUUCAUUGUUUGAGCUGUGCGAGCGGAUGGUUGUGAUUGAAGUUUAAUUCGUGACACACCUGGAGUAUACUUAAAUUUGAAAUGAUUCUAGAAUUUUUAUCCUUAGUUGAUUACUAUCAACUGAAGUUCCUCCUUGAGAAGGUGAGGAACUUUGUUUCUUUCAAUCACGGAAAAACAUUUCGUUUAACUCUUAUCUUCUCUUCUUGAAAUGGGCUAUCAGGUAGACGUUUUUGCUUUCACCACCAACUGAUGAAAUUUUAUGUUCUAUAAAUAAAGUUCGCUUGUUGCAUAAAUCACUGGAGCAUAUGAUGUUCCCCACUCCCAGAAGUGAGCAUUUAUAUGGGUGACCUAUCCUGAGAAGUCCCUUCCCGAGUGGACUAGAACGAAUGCACGUUUUAGCUGCACCAGCAUUGAAAAUCCAGAUGUCUCAAUUUAUAUUAUGGUGUAUGCUGCUGUAAGGAGUAUGGUUAGUGAAGCACUCUGAUGUUGGUAGUGGGGCUUCUAAGACCAGUCUAUCGUGCGUUUGACCCAAUAUCUUGGUUCCAAAAGAAGAUUCGAGGGACCAUGGAGGUGUUACCCGAUCAUUUAUUGAAAGAAACGAAUGAAUUCAUCAGAAAUCAAACAAUUCCCAAGUGGCCAGGAGCUUAUGGUUCGAACUUCCAGUUGAAAAGGUAAAAAAUUCUUGACUGGUGAAGUAGCUGAUCUGAUACGAUGGUGCCUCCCUAAUACAGCCAAGAGGCACAACGAAUGGAAUGGGAUUUUUUGGAAGGCAUAAAUUGGAAAGGUAAUUCUCCGACUUCGAUCACAGAGCCCCAACCAAUGGAGAAGGUGGCAUGUGCUUUCACGCCUGAACAAGACAGGAUUGUGACUGUCCGUGAGAGCACGUUCUCGAGUAAGCCUACUUCCCUCAUUCUUUCAGCUAAUUAAAAUAUUUGGUAUUGAUUAUCAUUCAAGAAUUUGUUGCUUCACACCCUGCACACAGGGGCGGAGCUACAGGGAGGAUGGCGGCCUCCCUCAACAUUUUAAAUUUUUUUGGAAAUUUUUAGGAUUGUUUGAUUUUUUUUAAUAUAUACAUAAUAUAUGUCAAUUUUGCCCCCAACAAAUUUUUUUUUUUUGUCCCCCCCCCCCAAAUGUAAAUCUUGGCUCCGCACCCGCACUACACAGAUGUUGCACAUAUGCUGCACAUAUGAAUUAAUCGGCCAAGAGUCCAUUUAGAUUGUUAGCUUAUUUGGUAAAACUAUUUCUGAUUUCCCUUUUCUGGUAAAAUAAUAGGAAAAAGGUAAAAACUAAUUUAAUGACUAGAACUUGCUAAGAAAAUACACUUCCAAAAACAUGGUUGUUAACUUGUGUUUGUAGAAUAUAGAUGUUUGUUAGAUUGAAUGAUUAACGAGCUUCUCUAUGCUUUUUUCUUCUUUUGAUUAGUGUCUGCUAAUGUUUUUAUUUAUCCUUUUAGAUUUAUAAUAGAGUUAGGAAAUUUUAAUCAAUUAGGCCUAUUUUACAUUGCUGGAUGUCAGCAGUUUUGACUACCUGCAUGUAUAGAAAUACUGGUCAUUGAUUGAAAAAUGUGUUGUUAAACUCACAUGAUGUCGAAGAAGCUAUCAAGCUUAUUGUAUAUGUAGCAUGAUUGAAUUUUAAUUGCAUAAAGUUUUGGAUUCCUCGUACGACAUUGAUUUCAAUCCUAAGUGUUAUGUAGCACCAGGCUGCUACUCGAAUGUUGUGCUGCUUAAAGGCCCUUGCACACAUUUGUUAGGUCGAACUUGCUAGGCUGAAAAUGGAACGGUUUCAACAAUUAUAAAAAAGGUUCAUA